UUCUUUCUGGAAUUUGUUCUUUUUUUCGUUGCUUACACACCUCGUUCACAACAAAGUUUUUAUUAAUUGUUAUUAAAUCUCAAAUUGGAAUAUAUCACUACUCUUUCUCUUUUCGUCGUAAAACUCGAACGAAAUAACAUUUACCGCAUUCUCUAUUAUCGUAAAGUUAAAUUCAUGUAUUACGUAAAUCAUUGUGCACGCUCUUAUGAACAUCUUCGGCCAAUUAACGUUCGGGAUUUUUAUCGCACCGUCACGGUUCAAGAAGAACUUGGCGACAUCCUAUCCGAAAAAGUAUGUCUCUCUCUUUCUCUCUCUCUCUCUCUCUUUUCUCUCUCUCUCUCUUUCUUUCUGUGUCUCUAUCUAUCUCUGUCUUUCUAUACUUUCUGUUCCCUAUACAAUUUAUAUUUGGUUUAUAAUCGAAUUCGUGGGUUGGUAAGAGGCAAAAGAGCGUUAAAAAUAUCUCUUUCAAAAAGACCAAGUAAAUACGUUACUGUGUUGAGUUUAGAAUUUUUCUUCACGGUGCGACGCUUGCUCGAAUCACUUAUUUUAUUCAUUCGUGAUUGGUUGUUAACGAUGUUAUAUACAUAGUCCGACGAACUAGACGUUAAAAGUGUUAUAAUUUAAUAGAAAUUGGAUUUUAAUUUAAUUUUUUAUUUGCAGCCAUGAUUGUAUGCAUUAUUAAACAUCAAUCAUAUUACACACACACACAUACAUAUGUCUAUGAAUGUAUGAACGUGUAAGAAAUUUUUAACGCUCGUCAAAAUUUUAAUGCAACUUAUAUUUCUUUUUUUCUUUUUUACGAAGGAAACGUGGCUUUAUAAUAUUUGUUGUAAUUUUUGCAAACAGAAUAAUGAAAUGAAAUGAAAUAGAAUAAAAUAAAAAUGAAAAGAAAGAAAGAAAACAAAAAAUCUCAAUUAAAUAGAAAGAAAAAAAUGGCGGCAGCCACCCUCGCUCGCCCUAGCGACGAUUUUUCUAAAGAGGCGGUCGGUUCGAAUUUCCGCGUUCCAUAAGGCACACUCGUCGAGUUGCACUCGAUACGUUCCUACACUAUUACGAUAGUAGAUGCUCGUCUCAAAUCCGUGUCUCGCAUUCCGAGCGCGACUGCGUUCCGAUGUGGUCGUAGUUGUAGCCGAUAAAGGCGACGUCGUAUGUCCUCUUUCCUCCUAUCUUUUUAUUUUUUUCCAUAUAUUCUUCUUUACCGACGGAGUACGAUGACGAAGAUUACAAAAAAAAAAAAAAACAAAAGAAAGAAGAAGAAGAAGGAGGAGGAUAAAAUGAAAGAACAGAGAGAAAAGAUCUUUUUUUGUCGAUCAUUUUUGCGAUUUAGUUAACGGGCGAUCGAAAUAAUCGCGACUUAAUUGGAAAAUGAAGUGUGAAGUAUUGUGUCGUGACGUCAUCUCGAGUAAGAGGAACGAAUAAGUGGGGGAAAAAAAAAAGAGAGAAAAGAAAGAAAGAGUAGUAGGAACAGGAAGACGAGCAGAAUAUCGGAACGCAGCCCCCCAUCUGACUCGAGCGAUGUAUUUCCGUCGAUGAACUCGUGGCCCACGAGAGUCAUUCUAGACGGACUUUGUCCUGUCGUAUCCUUGUUGCUUAUAAGAGAUGAGAGGAGGUCCUUGAGUAUUUCUAUAUUAUUUUUUUCAUUUUUUUUUUUUUUGACGGAUAACGUAUUUUGAUAUUUGAUAAUUUUAAAUGGCUGAUAAUAAAAUUGAUAUCGAUGUCAUACGUAAUAUAAUAAUUUUAUCGAAUAUAAUCUACAUAGUAUGUCUGCAGAAUUCUAAUCAUAUUUUUGAUCGUGUUCGUAUGUUGGAUGUGUGAGUUUAAUUUAGUAUUGCUUAGAAUUAACAUAUCGUAUAUUACUCGAAUUUAUUUUUAGUAUUAAUUAGUAAUAUGUACAUAUAUGUACACACACGUAUACACAUAUGUGUGUAUAUAUAUAUAUAUAUAUAUAUAUAUAUAUAUAUAUAUAUUUUAUCUCUGUGUAUGAAACAAACGAAGUAAAAGUAUUAUGAUUCUAAUACGAUAAACUUCACGUAUGUAAUUUAUCGUUCAUAAGAACAAAACCGAAUACGGAAAUCGAAUUAAACCGAGUCAAUGCUUAUUGAUACAGGUGUCUACGUGAUUACUGAAUUACCGUAUAUAAUGAUGAAUUUUGAUCGUUCGAUUAAGCUUCAAAAUUCUUGCGUGCUACAUAUAAAUCCUUUGUUUGUUAUCUAAUAACUAUUGCAAUGAGAAAAAAUAAUAAAUUUGCUGUUAUCUUACGUGUGGGAUGCGACCUUCCUUAUCGACGUACGAUGUGUAAUAAAGAAUAAGAUAUUAAAACACAAUAGAUUUAACAAAA